GAUGAACGCUGACAGAAUGCUUAACACAUGCAAGUCUUUGGCGAAGCUGUGCUUGCACAGCCUAGCCAAGGCGGACGGGUGAGUAACGCGUAAGGGACUUGCCCUGCAGUCAGGGAUAACAGACGGAAACGACUGAUAAGACCUGAUAAAGUCAGGCGGACUCAUGUCCAGCCUGAUGAAAAGGAAUGCUGCAGGAGAGCCUUGCGUCCUAUUAGCUUGUUGGUGGGGUAACGGCCCACCAAGGCGAUGAUAGGUAGCCGGCCUGAGAGGGUGGACGGCCACAAGGGGACUGAGAUACGGCCCUUACUCCUACGGGAGGCAGCAGUGGGGAAUAUUGGACAAUGGGGGCAACCCUGAUCCAGCAAUUCUGUGUGCACGAUGAAGGUCUUCGGAUUGUAAAGUGCUUUCAGCAGGGAAGAAAAAAAU
rnacentral:rRNA from 1 species